rnacentral:rRNA from 1 species
GAUGAACGCUGGCGGCGUGCUUAACACAUGCAAGUCGAACGGAAAGGCCAGUGCUUGCACUGGUACUCGAGUGGCGAACGGGUGAGUAACACGUGGGUGAUCUGCCCUGCACUUCGGGAUAAGCCUGGGAAACUGGGUCUAAUACCGGAUAGGACAAUGGUUUGGAUGCCGUUGUGGAAAGUUUUUUCGGUGUGGGAUGAGCUCGCGGCCUAUCAGCUUGUUGGUGGGGUAAUGGCCUACCAAGGCGUCGACGGGUAGCCGGCCUGAGAGGGUGUACGGCCACAUUGGGACUGAGAUACAGCCCAGACUCCUACGGGAGGCAGCAGUGGGGAAUAUUGCACAAUGGGCGCAAGCCUGAUGCAGCGACGCCGCGUGGGGGAUGACGGCCUUCGGGUUGUAAACUCCUUUCGCUAGGGACGAAGCGUAUUUGUGACGGUACCUGGAGAAGAAGCACCGGCUAACUACGUG